rnacentral:lncRNA from 1 species
CUUUGGCAGAAGCAAGUUGGUUUGUUAUUUUUCUUUUUUUUUUUGGUCCUGCUUUUCUUCCCCUCCCCACCUCAUACCCCCUUGAAGGCCACUCACAAAGUAGCACAUGUGGAACUUUCCUGCCGGCUCUACUGAAUGCCGAUCCAAUGAAUGUGCUGUGCCUCUUAUACAGAUGGGCCAGUGCUUGAUGCCUUCAUCAACAAGCGUGUCACUUAGUCCAAGCUGAGGUGGAAUAAAGGAGAAGCUAGCACCCUGUGACUAGUUUGG